GUAUAAGGAACACCCUAAUCUUGGAAAAACAGUUUUGUAAGGUAUUAUAAUACUAUCCAUGUAUAAGAAACUCCCAUAUUUUUUAAACCUAAUUUUUGACAAAAAAGGGUUCCUUAUACAUGUGAAAAUACGGUAUGUACAUACAUAUAUACACACACA